rnacentral:rRNA from 1 species
GGGGGAGCUUGCUCCUCCGGAACAGUGGCGGACGGGUGAGUAACACGUGAGCAACCUGCCUUUCAGAGGGGGACAACAGUUGGAAACGACUGCUAAUACCGCAUAACGUAUUUUGGCGGCAUCGCCGGAAUACCAAAGGAGCAAUCCGCUGAAAGAUGGGCUCGCGUCUGAUUAGAUAGUUGGUGAGGUAACGGCUCACCAAGUCGACGAUCAGUAGCCGGACUGAGAGGUUGAACGGCCACAUUGGGACUGAGACACGGCCCAGACUCCUACGGGAGGCAGCAGUGGGGGAUAUUGGACAAUGGGGGAAACCCUGAUCCAGCGAUGCCGCGUGAAGGAAGAAGGUUUUCGGAUUGUAAACCUCUGUGGAGGGGGACGAUAAUGACGGUACCCCUUUAGGAAGCCACGGCUAACUACGCGCCAGCAGCCGCGGUAAUACGUAGGUGGCGAGCGUUGUCCGGAAUUACUGGGUGUAAAGGGAGUGUAGGCGGGAAAGCAAGUCAGAAGUGAAAACUAUGGGCUUAACCCAUAGCCUGCUUUUGAAACUGUUUUUCUUGAGUGAAGUAGAGGCAAGCGGAAUUCCUAGUGUAGCGGUGAAAUGCGUAGAUAUUAGGAGGAACACCAGUGGCGAAGGCGGCUUGCUGGGCUUUUACUGACGCUGAGGCUCGAAAGCGUGUGGAGCAAACAGGAUUAGAUACCCUGGUAGUCCACGCCGUA